rnacentral:rRNA from 1 species
UACGUAGGGCGCAAGCGUUGUCCGGAAUUAUUGGGCGUAAAGAGCUCGUAGGCGGCUUGUCACGUCGGGUGUGAAAGCCCGGGGCUUAACCCCGGGUCUGCAUUCGAUACGGGCUAGCUAGAGUGUGGUAGGGGAGAUCGGAAUUCCUGGUGUAGCGGUGGAAUGCGCAGAUAUCAGGAGGAACACCGAUGGCGAAGGCAGCCAUCUGGACCGACACUGACGCUGAGGCGCGAAAGCGUGGGGAGCAAACAGG